rnacentral:rRNA from 1 species
UACGUAGGGCGCAAGCGUUGUCCGGAAUUAUUGGGCGUAAAGAGCGUGUAGGCGGUCCGGUAAGUCCGCUGUGAAAGUCGGGGGCUACAACCCGUCGAAUGCCGGUGGAUACUGUCGGGCUAGAGUGCGGAAGAGGCGAGUGGAAUUCCUGGUGUAGCGGUGAAAUGACGCAGAUAUCAGGAGGAACACCUAUUGCGAAGGCAGCUCGCUGGGACGUAACUGACGCUGAGACGCGAAAGCGUGGGGAGCAAACAGG